rnacentral:rRNA from 1 species
AAUAGAUACCCAGGUAGUCCAUGCCGUAAACGUUGGGCACUAGGUGUGGGUCCAUUCCACGGAUUCCGUGCCGCAGCAAACGCAUUAAGUGCCCCGCCUAGGGAGUACGGCCGCAAGGCUAAAACUCAAGGAAAUUGACGGGGGCCCGCACAAGCGGCGGAGCAUGCGGAUUAAUUCGAUGCAACGCGAAGAACCUUACCAAGGCUUGACAUACACCGGAAACGUGCAGAGAUGUGCGCCCCGCAAGGUCGGUGUACAGGUGGUGCAUGGUUGUCGUCAGCUCGUGUCGUGAGAUGUUGGGUUAAGUCCCGCAACGAGCGCAACCCUCGUCCCAUGUUGCCAGCGGGUUAUGCCGGGGACUCAUGGGAGACUGCCGGGGUCAACUCGGAGGAAGGUGGGGAUGACGUCAAAUCAUCAUGCCCCUUAUGUCUUGGGCUUCACGCAUGCUACAAUGGCCGGUACAAAGGGCUGCGAAACCGCGAGGUGGAGCGAAUCCCAAAAAGCCGGUCUCAGUUCGGAUUGGGGUCUGCAACUGACCCC